UUCUGAAAUGUUUUACAAGUAAUUUACAUUCUAUCCAGAACCAAAUUAAAUAACUUCCAAACUACAUUCCAAAGCUGGGGAGAGUUCAUUCAAAUAAUUCUCAGGUCACAUAAGUCAAACCACAAAUACAGCUGAAUCUAUUAAUGUUCAUGGAGAACCCUGAGUGUAUAUCCGGACAAGCAUUUAAAUGACUGUCCAUAAGUAUAAAAACAGAGUAAAAGUCCCCGUGUCAAAUGCUGACCUUGUAGAUCACUGCUGCUGAGAAAUCUGAUCUUGCUCUUUGGUUUUCAGCUCCAGAAGCUCUGUCUUGAGUUCGCCACAUUUUGGGAGGACUUCAGGUAUAGUCAGAUCGGGGCCGUAGUACCUGUGCACCACUUCUGCCCCAGCCAGCUGCGACCAUUUUCAGGUAUGAAAUGGCCAAUCUGUUGCUAUCAUUGUUGCUGCUACAGCUGAUCUGAUAGCAGACACCCACUGUUCUGUUCCCAGGAAGGGGGCAAGAUACCAGCUGCCUUUUGAGAGGCCCCAUAGCAUAGAAAUAAGGUGAGAAAUAGGAUAAGGCAUUCUAGCAUAGAAAAGAAGAUCAACAUGUGCUGGGCCCAUCCUAGACUCAAGCUCACCAGGGAGCCAUAAGCUCAUGGCUUGUGGGUGGGUAAAAUACUGUCUUUUCUAGAAAAGAGUUCCAAAAAUGUACUAGCU
rnacentral:lncRNA from 1 species